rnacentral:rRNA from 1 species
UACGGAGGAUCCAAGCGUUAUCCGGAUUUAUUGGGUUUAAAGGGUGCGCAGGCGGCCCGGUAAGUUAGAGGUGAAAUCCCAUAGCUCAACUAUGGAAUUGCCUCUGAUACUGUCGGGCUAGAGAGUGGUUGCUGUUGGCGGAAUGUGUGGUGUAGCGGUGAAAUGCUUAGAUAUCACACAGAACACCGAUUGCGAAGGCAGCUGACAAAACCACAUCUGACGCUCAGGCACGAAAGCGUGGGGAGCAAACAGG